CACCAACACUGCAGCACCACCACCUCCACCAACACCGCAGCACCACCACCAUUGUAGCCCCUCCACCACCGCUGCACCACAUCGGAAAAUGCUAACGAAGAAUGAAAGCCAAAUCGGAGACGAUUAAGGCUUACCCAAACAUGCCCUAAAGCUUACCUGUGACUACUACCUUACAUCGUUGUUGUCAGCCACUAUUUACCUGCACUAGUUGCUGUUGAAGUUUGCUUUUUAAAUCAGAAAAUUUUUGGGGAUGUGAAUCAAAUAGAUUUGGGGGAUGUGAAAGAUUAUAGAUCUGGUUUUGGGGAUUUUGGGGGACGGUGGUGAUUCAGAUAUGGGGGGCUGGUGAUUCAGAAGAUGCGGAGGGUCGAUCCAGACUUUAGAAGAUAUAGGGGUUACUUGGAGAUUGGUGUCAAAAAGUGUAUAAAACCAGUGUAGUACCCUCUUGUAUGAGAGUUGAAUGUUUAGUAGGUUCAGUUUAAUCCUUGUAUUUUUAUUCUCAUCGACAAGUAUCAUCAUUUUUUAAGCUGUACACACACUUUUUUCUGAACUUUGACUUUUUUUUUGUGGUACAAAGAUGAGUUUGGCUCCAAAACCAAGAGGCUAAAAGGAAUUGGUAUUGGUGCUUCUGACGUUCCUAUUUCCCUUGAUGACUUCCGGAAACUUCAACGAUCAGACUUGGAAUUAAGGAAGCACUUGGAAGAUCAAGUUGCAACCAUUGACCAAUUACAGAAUGAACACUGUGUAGCCACUGAGCUUCAUGAAAGUUGUAUUAGCUUUAUUGGGAGAGAUAGAGACAAAGAAGAGAGAGAAAUUUAAAUAAAUUAAUUUUUUUAUUUUUUAAUGGAGGGGUAAUUUGGUCAUUUAACAAAACUUAACUACAAAAUUCUAACUGUGUUAGAAAAUUGGACUCAAAUGGUUAAGAAAAAUGCUUAUAGGGACUCAGGGCGU
rnacentral:lncRNA from 1 species